AGCGCCGCUCCGGAGGGGAAGGCGGGCGGGAGAGGCUCAUCCGCUUCCUGGAUCACCGGGCAGGCAUUACCGCUUCCGGGGAGCGCCGCCGCCGGGGAACCCGGAAAGGGGGGAAUGCGGCGGGGAAUGAAGGGGAAGCGCGGCCCGGGGACGGGGAGGAGGGUGCCGGCCUGCCGCCCCCGGCAGCCGUGGGGAGUCGGGGCGGGGCUGCCCCUGAGGGACGGCCCGAGGCGCCUGAGGGGCAGAGCCCCCGGGCCGCCCUGAGUGGUGACAGCCGGCGUGAGUCACGGAAUGGUCGGGGUUGGAGUGACCUCUGGAGAUCGCUCAGUGACCUCCGGAGAUCGCUCAGUCCAUCCUCCUGCGCAGGCGGGGUCACCCAGAGCAGGUGACACGGGAACGUGUCCGGAUGGGUCUGGAAUGUCUCCAGAUAGGGAGACUCCACACCCUCCCUGGGCAGUUGUUCCUAAGCUGUGCCAGCCUCAAUGGGAAGAAGUUCCUCCUUGUUUAGGGGUGAAACUUCUCGUGGUUUAGUUUAUGCCUAUUGCUCCUUGUCCUGCCGCUGGACACCACUGAGGAGUCUGGCACCAUCCUCUUGGCACCCUCCUGGGAGAUAUUUAUGUGUAUGGGUGAGAUCUCAGCCUUGUCUAGACUAAACAGGCCCUGCUCCCGCAGGCUCUCCUCAUAAAAGAGAUGCUCUUUAUUAAAAUGAAUCUUAUUUAAAUUCGUUGCAGGAUUCUGUGAGGCUUUGGUGGACUUCAUGGGCACCAAAGGACUUCAUGGGCCUGGUGUGUCAUUCCUGUGUCUGUUCCUGGUUAGCUCAGUGGGAGUCUGGUUGUGAUGUCUGACACUGCUUGGUUCCAGAUCAAAAUCAUCAUCCUCCAAAAAUGAAUUAUGGAUCCAAGGAGAUCCAAUAGAGGCACUGAGGUAAGAAAAGUUCUCUUCAUGAGAACUCACGAGGAAGAUAAAAAAGUUCCUGCUUGCAUACACUUAGAAUGGAAGCCCAUCCUCUCCACAAAAAAUAGGUCCUCCCACACAGAGACACAUGACACCAUUCAUCUGUCAUUUUAAGGCAGCUCAGCCCAACCUAGACUGUUCAAAGGGGAACAGAUCAGGAAAGAGAAAACCUACAGGAGAAAUCAAGAACCCAGUCCUUGCAGGGUAGCAAAAAGAUGACCCAGAAAUGUGAUAUUGUGACACAAAUGUCAUUUGCUAAAGGAUCACAUAGGUUAAAGAAGAGCUGAUGGUCCAGGGGACAGAGCAUGGUACAGUGUAUGAUGUUGGAGUACACCGGAGGAAGUGCUUUAUCUUCUAGUGAAAAAGAAAAACUUCUAAGAUGUCAGAUUUGAAAAACUGGUUUAAUCUACAGCAUCUCUGCAUACAGCCACCCUACCUUGCUGCAGUCUCAACUUAGAUUAUACAGCUUUGGGGUUACUUUGGAGGAUUCUUCAGGAAAGGAAGAUACCUCCUUCCUUAUUCUGAUCUUUUGGAGGAGCCAUGAAAAACUUUAUACAUUGCUGCUAUAAGUGCCUCAGUAGUGAACCAUCCCUCUACAGUUCUCAAGGACUGGCCUUGUGCAGGGAAUGCAUGCUGGGUUAAUCUCGUUUUUGCCUCCCAUCCCCACAAAAUGAUCCAUCCAGGUAAUUGCUGCAGACAUGUGGCACUCACAUGGGUCGGUUUGCAGGACUGAGACCAAAAAGCAUCAAUGGAAAUGAAACCAACCGAAGCAAAAAGAAAAUAGCCCUUAGUACAUGUUUAGUUACAAAGACCAGAGUGGUAAGUAGGAAAAGGAUGCAGAUCUCCCAGCUACAUUAUGGGCUGCUCAAUAAACACUUGAAAAAAAGCCAGAUGCUGGGCAGUCACCAUUUCAUUCAAGCACAAUUAAACCCCCUGUAUUCCUUCAUGGUAUGUACAAAAUCACAUACAGUUAAAUAAACAACUGAAAGAGUGAAUGAGAUUCUAAUAUACAGUACUUUCACACAGCCAAAGCUAUUUUAUUUUACAAGACGAGGCUUUUGCGUUCAUCUUCUUUUGAAAGCCCAGUAAAAACAGCAUAAACUACUUAAGCAAAAUUUAAGAGACAACUUACAAAGUAAAAUUUGCAUAGCGCUGUAAAUCUGCGUGUUUGUUUGGGCACAGUUCUCUGUAAAAACUACAGUAGGUGACAGGGUCGGGUUUUCUUAAUAGCUUCUUGUUUUUCACCAGAUUCAGACACACUUCUGAACAUCAUAAAAUCAAGUGUAGGAAACAACUGUAAAAAUGUACAAAAAUAUAUACACAUGCACAGUAAAUGCAUACCCUGUAUACAGUUUUAUUACUCGUUAGAUUUGGCUAAUAAUGAUCAUCUGGUGACUUACACUUCCCUCCGAAUGACAGGUUUGCAACACAUCAAUCAGCUCAAGGAGGGUGAUUUUCCUCGGAGAGAAGGUUUGGAUUAAAGCUACAGUACUUGCUGGUGAUCUGAGGAGUGAGCGAGGCGCCGGCCGGCAGCGGCCGCCGGGUGUUCAGGCGAGUUCAGCAUUCAGAUGUCAAAAGGGACAGCUCAGACACAGCUGAAGCAAAGGGACACGAAGGGACACAGCUUGGCUCUCUGCACAGAUGCACAUGCACGGAAUAAAGGAGGUACACAGAACCUGCUCAUGCCUUGGGGUGUAAAAUUUAAUUCCUGAUUAGGCUCUGCUACCUACUCUUCCUUCCUUCGCAAAUUGUAUUUUAGUAAUUUGUAACUCAGUGUUUUCCUUGAGAAUGUAGGCUGGCCACAAUGAAAAAAGUUGUGUAAGACUGAAAAUUGGUAGUGGUAGCCCCCACAUUACGGAAUACUUUUCAUUUAAAUUUUAAAAGUACUAUCAUAUUCUGAUUGCUGCUGAAGUGUCUAAUUUUAAAAUACACUUUUCUCCUAAAAAGAUAAAAUGCUGCUUCUGCUAGUGGUUUAUAGAAAUAGACUAUCUGCACUCAAGUGCUCUCAACAGUGAAAGUGCACAAAUAAUCUUUCUUUACAGUUUCAAAAACUGAACAGUGGCAGAUAACUACAGGUAUAACAUUUUAAGAAACACAGGCAGCUUUCUAAAAGCCUAGAGAGGCCAAGGAUCAGAGAAACGCAUUUGUCUUAGAUGCCAAUCCCGUGUCUUCCCAAUUCUGAAGUAUGAAAUAUUUUCACGACUUUUUCUGGUGGCUAAUACACAUGGCACAGACCCUGUAACACUGACUUCCAGAAUGGUCUCACUCCAAACCACAGCAGGUGAAUAACACACAACCAACAGCCUGGAGGCAUCUUGCUGCAGAGACAAUCAGACAAACCAGCCUUCAAGAUAAACAGGGUAGAAUGAGAGUCCCCAUCUGAAAAAAGCCCUCAUGAGGAAUUCUGACCCAAAUCACGUGAACAUGGCAAGGCUUAUUUUGUAAGUUGUUACACAGAGGUCUCACAUCCACAUUAGUGAGAGCUCGCCUCUCACACAGUUGUCUGCUUUGCAAAGCUCCUGGUGAUCACUCAGUUUUCUCAGAACAAGAAUUUGGCCGGACCCGUCAGUGCUCCUGCUCCUCCCAGUGAUGCACCUUGCUGUGCUCCUUUUCCCAAACAGCUCUGAGCAGGGCUGUCACCUGCUUCAAAUCCCAGCUUCACUCAGCACCAGCAGCCCUGGAGCACCACCUGUUAUGAUCAGAAGGUUCAGGAAUACGGGAACAAGCAGCUGUGACACACUGGGUGGGAGUACAAAUUCAGCAUUCCCAUCACAGGGACGAGCUUCUUUGUGCAGGCACACAGCAGAACUUGCAGCAAUCGUCUGCUGGGAAUCAGAACCUUCACACCAGGGGACAGAAGCACAUGGCAUCCAGGAGAUGCUGUGAGCAAUCCUGCUGCAUCCCAUCUUCAAAGGAGAUCAAGGAACGGGUUCUUCACUUUGAUCUGUGUUGGCCUCCAGCAUCUGCAUGAAACACUUGGGUGAAGUCUGCUCAAGACUGGCUUAAAGAUUCUUAGCAAAUACUUCUCCAAGAUGCCAAAAUACAUCAGAUUGUGUCUUCAAUCUGAAACACUCUGUGUAGUGUCAAGUCAGCAUUAUUAAAAGCCUCCAACACCCCAUUUCUUCAAAAGGUACAUGAAGCAAAACCAGGCUUUGGGGUAGUCCCAAGACAGAAACAGUACUUUCAGCAAAUAUCCCAUGGACAAUGACUCUCUUGCUUUCUCAUUAUUCCAACUCUUAGUAAAAACCUUGUCCCAGCUCCCUUUCACCAGAGGGACCUGUUGCCAGGUAGGGAGGGCCUGUGUGAGGGAGGCCUCUUCUCUUCCCUGCUAAAAGUUUUGCUUUGAAGCAGCAAAGUUGCAUUAUCAUGUAACACAAACACAACCCUGUCACUUCAGACCUAGAGGUGACAACCAGUUACAAAAUUCAGGAAGAGAAGACCCCAGCCAUCUGAGACAACUGCUGUAGGACUGGUUGAACUGGAGAACUCAAAGUUCCUGCUAAGAGUUUGUAACCAAACCAUCUGCAGAAGAUACAGGUGAGCAAAUAUACAGACAUCAGUGAUGGAGACAAGAGGUACCACAUGGAAAUGAGCAGUCAUACCCACUUUUCCUGUGAAUACCAGGCAAUUAGGACACAGACAGCAGUCAGAUUCAUUGGUCAGCAGUUAAGAGUAGAGCCCUUCAAGGUAAGUUAAAGCAGAACAAAGGAACAUUGCCCAUGCUCUUUGUGCCAGAGACAGGUAUUUUACUCAGUGAUGCAAAGUCAAUUGCAAGAGCACAUUCAGCCCAUGAUGAGCAGAGAGAACUGUAAUCCUACCGAGCCAAGGCUCUGGAUACCACAUCCUUCUUCAGCAUCAGCUUUUUGUGCCUUCCUAUCUCAGAGAUGCCACAUGGCCAGCAGUCCCCAAGCUCUCUCACCAGGUUUUCAGAUGUAGGUCAAUGUGAUGCUUCUCUGGAACUGCAAAUCCCACUUGGGGAGCAGCAUCAUUGCUGUUGGUGACAAUGACAAGUGCUGCCAAGGCCAAGAGCACACAUCUAUCAUCUGUCCAUGUUAGUCUGAGAACCAUUCCUCUUCGGAGUCAAUGCUGAACUCCAUGGCAGUCAGCUUGCAAGUCCAUACUGGAAAACUCUAUUUACUCCAAACAAAUAAGCAAUAAAUGAAAAUUCUAAAAGAUGGAGAGAAAAAAACACUCCCACAGCUGUAAGUUUAUUAAACCUAUCAUGGUUGAAAAGCAAAAGACGAAAAACAUGAUACGUUUUUGUUUAUUAUUGCUCUUAAAGGGCUUGGUAGUCAAAUAUACAAGCUAUGCUCUAUUAAACCAGAAGAAAAUAUGAUAUAAAAUCUAUGCUCACUUUUCCAAUCCAAUCCACCUGCCAAUCUUCAUUAGUGACAUUAACUUCAGCUAUUUCCAGUCAUUUUAAUUGAUACAUACUCUGUGUACGUGUGCGCGCGCGAGUAUAAAAACCCCUAUUUGAGAGAUAAAAUUCAAAA